UCCUACGGGAGGCAGCAGUGGGGAAUUUUCCGCAAUGGGCGAAAGCCUGACGGAGCAAUACCGCGUGAGGGAGGAAGGCUCUUGGGUUGUAAACCUCUUUUCUCAAGGAAGAAAAAAAUGACGGUACUUGAGGAAUAAGCAUCGGCUAACUCCGUGCCAGCAGCCGCGGUAAUACGGAGGAUGCAAGCGUUAUCCGGAAUGAUUGGGCGUAAAGCGUCCGCAGGUGGCUGUGAAAGUCUGCUGUUAAAGAAUGAGGCUCAACCUCAUACAAGCAGUGGAAACUACACGGCUAGAGUGCGUUCGGGGUAGAGGGAAUUCCUGGUGUAGCGGUGAAAUGCGUAGAUAUCAGGAAGAACACCGGUGGCGAAGGCGCUCUACUAGGCCGCAACUGACACUGAGGGACGAAAGCUAGGGGAGCGAAUGGGAUUAGAUACCCCAGUAGUCCUAGCCGUAAACGAUGGAUACUAGGCGUGGCUUGUAUCGACCCGAGCCGUGCCGUAGCUAACGCGUUAAGUAUCCCGCCUGGGGAGUACGCACGCAAGUGUGAAACUCAAAGGAAUUGACGGGGGCCCGCACAAGCGGUGGAGUAUGUGGUUUAAUUCGAUGCAACGCGAAGAACCUUACCAAGACUUGACAUGUCGCGAAUUCCUCUGAAAGGAGGAAGUGCCUUCGGGAACGCGAACACGAGGUGGUGCAUGGCUGUCGUCAGCUCGUGUCGUGAGAUGUUGGGUUAAGUCCCGCAACGAGCGCAACCCUCGUUUUUAGUUGCCAGCAUUCAGUUGGGCACUCUAAAGAGACUGCCGGUGACAAACCGGAGGAAGGUGGGGAUGACGUCAAGUCAGCAUGCCCCUUACGUCUUGGGCUACACACGUACUACAAUGCUACGGACAAAGGGCAGCUACACAGCGAUGUGAUGCAAAUCCAAAAAACCGUAGCUCAGUUCAGAUCGCAGGCUGCAACUCGCCUGCGUGAAGGAGGAAUCGCUAGUAAUUGCAGGUCAGCAUACUGCAGUGAAUUCGUUCCCGGGCCUUGUACACACCGCCCGUCACACCAUGGAAGCUGGUCACGCCCGAAGUCAUUACCCCAACUUUUCGGAGAGGGGGAUGCCUAAGGCAGGACUGGUGACUGGGGUGAAGUCGUAACAAGGUAGCCGUACCGGAAGGUGUGGCUGGAUCACCUCCUUUUUAGGGAGACCUACACCCCUCAAAACUCG
rnacentral:rRNA from 1 species